ACGCUCGACACCUACGGGGGCAGCAGUGGGGAAUAUUGCACAAUGGGGGAAACCCUGAUGCAGCGACGCCGCGUGAGCGAAGAAGUAUUUCGGUAUGUAAAGCUCUAUCAGCAGGGAAGAUAAUGACGGUACCUGACUAAGAAGCUCCGGCUAAAUACGUGCCAGCAGCCGCGGUAAUCUGAGCGGGCUGGCAAGGC
rnacentral:rRNA from 1 species